AUUGAACGCUGGCGGCAGGCCUAACACAUGCCAGUCGAGCGGAUGAAGGGAGCUUGCUCCUGGAUUCAGCGGCGGACGGGUGAGUAAUGCCUAGGAAUCUGCCUGGUAGUGGGGGAUAACGUCCGGAAACGGGCGCUAAUACCGCAUACGUCCUGAGGGAGAAAGUGGGGGAUCUUCGGACCUCACGCUAUCAGAUGAGCCUAGGUCGGAUUAGCUAGUUGGUGGGGUAAAGGCCUACCAAGGCGACGAUCCGUAACAGGUCUGAGAGGAUGAUCAGUCACACUGGAACUGAGACACGGUCCAGACUCCUACGGGAGGCAGCAGUGGGGAAUAUUGGACAAUGGGCGAAAGCCUGAUCCAGCCAUGCCGCGUGUGUGAAGAAGGUCUUCGGAUUGUAAAGCACUUUAAGUUGGGAGGAAGGGCAGUAAGUUAAUACCUUGCUGUUUUGACGUUACCAACAGAAUAAGCACCGGCUAACUUCGU
rnacentral:rRNA from 1 species